GUGGGGAAUAUUGGACAAUGGGCGAAAGCCUGAUCCAGCCAUGCCGCGUGUGUGAAGAAGGUCUUCGGAUUGUAAAGCACUUUAAGUUGGGAGGAAGGGCAGUAAGUUAAUACCUUGCUGUUUUGACGUUACCGACAGAAUAAGCACCGGCUAACUUCGUGCCAGCAGCCGCGGUAAUACGAAGGGUGCAAGCGUUAAUCGGAAUUACUGGGCGUAAAGCGCGCGUAGGUGGUUUUGUAAGUUGGAGGUGAAAUCCCCGAGCUCAACCUGGGAACUGCCUCCAAAACUGCAUGACUAGAGUACGGUAGAGGGUAGUGGAAUUUCCCUGUGUAGCGGUGAAAUGCGUAGAUAUAGGAAGGAACACCAGUGGCGAAGGCGACUACCUGGACUGAUACUGACACUGAGGUGCGAAAGCGUGGGGAGCAAACAGGAUUAGAAACCCGAGUAGUCC
rnacentral:rRNA from 1 species